CGCGGGGUGGAGCAGCUCGGUAGCUCGCUGGGCUCAUAACCCAGAGGUCAUAGGUUCAAAUCCUAUCCCCGCUA
rnacentral:tRNA from 2 species